UAGGGAAUCUUCGGCAGUGGGGGGAACCCUGACCGAGCAACGCCGCGUGAGUGAAGAAGGUUUUCGGAUCGUAAAGCUCUGUUGUUAAGGAAGAACGAGUGUGAGAAUGGAAAGUUCAUACUGUGACGGUACUUAACCAGAAAGGGACGGCUAACUACGUGCCAGCAGCCGCGGUAAUACGUAGGUCCCGAGCGUUGUCCGGAUUUAUUGGGCGUAAAGCGAGCGCAGGCGGUUAGAUAAGUCUGAAGUUAAAGGCAGUGGCUCAACCAUUGUAGGCUUUGGAAACUGUUUAACUUGAGUGCAGAAGGGGAGAGUGGAAUUCCAUGUGUAGCGGUAAAAUGCGUAGAUAUAUGGAGGAACACCGGUCGCGAAAGCGGCUCUCUGGUCUGUAACUGACGCUGAGGCUCGAAAGCGUGGGGAGCGAACAGG
rnacentral:rRNA from 1 species